rnacentral:rRNA from 1 species
ACGCUCGACACCUACGGGAGACAGCAGUGGGGAAUAUUGCACAAUGGGGGAAACCCUGAUGCAGCGACGCCGCGUGGAGGAAGAAGGUCUUCGGAUUGUAAACUCCUGUUGUUGGGGAAAAAGNGGAUGGUACCCAAACAAGGAAGUGACGGCUAACUACGUGCCCGGCAGCCGCGGUAAUCUGAGCGGGCUGGCAAGGC